CAUGCAAGUCGAACGCGAAAGGGGGGGCAACCCCCCGAGUAGAGUGGCGAACGGGUGAGUAAUACAUCGGAACGUACCCAGUAGCGGGGGAUAACCUCUCGAAAGAGAGGCUAAUACCGCAUACGACCUACGGGUGAAAGAGGGGGAUCGCAAGACCUCUCACUAUUGGAGCGGCCGAUGUCGGAUUAGCUAGUUGGUGGGGUAAAAGCCUACCAAGGCGACGAUCUGUAGCUGGUCUGAGAGGACGACCAGCCACACUGGGACUGAGACACGGCCCAGACUCCUACGGGAGGCAGCAGUGGGGAAUUUUGGACAAUGGGCGCAAGCCUGAUCCAGCCAUGCCGCGUGCGGGAAGAAGGCCUUCGGGUUGUAAACCGCUUUUGUCAGGGAAGAAACGCACUGGGCUAAUACCCCGGUGUAAUGACGGUACCUGAAGAAUAAGCACCGGCUAACUACGUGCCAGCAGCCGCGGUAAUACGUAGGGUGCAAGCGUUAAUCGGAAUUACUGGGCGUAAAGCGUGCGCAGGCGGCUUUGCAAGACAGAUGUGAAAUCCCCGGGCUCAACCUGGGAACUGCAUUUGUGACUGCAUGGCUGGAGUGUGGCAGAGGGGGAUGGAAUUCCGCGUGUAGCAGUGAAAUGCGUAGAUAUGCGGAGGAACACCGA
rnacentral:rRNA from 1 species